GACCAGGUUACGAAACGCCUGGACACAGGAGGAGGGGUGGAUGUCGUAUACCUGGACUUCAGGAAGGCCUUCGAUACGGAAAAGCAUCCACAAAAGUGUCAUGGAACAUGGACUGUGUUGAUACUUGGAGGAUAAUCCAGCUAUCUUCAGAGGUGGUGAACUUCUGCCUCUUGAACUGUCUAGGAAGUGUAUCCUAGAGAAAGCUGGCCACUUAUUCCUUCUGGAACUAAGGUCACCUGAGGAAGAUUGUGACUUUCUACAUGCUCCCACAGCCCAUCCUACUUCAGAGCCUCCUGCAGUAUUAUCUCCGUGUUCCUGGGGAAGCCUGGCACAAAAUGCAGCCUGUCUGACUCACAAAGAGCUCUCCCCCUCCCCACCUCUGCCUGAACAAGAACUGAUUAGAGGAAGGAAUAACAGAAGACAAAGAAGAUGCAGUGGGAGAUGCACCUAAAGCCCUCCAGACAAGGGUGAUAAGAAUGAAGCAACUCCCCUGGUCUCAAUUGCAUCCAAGAUGGAACCAGAUGACAACUCAUUUAAAUGGGAGACGGGGCAGGAAAGCACCUUCAUUAGCAUUCAGGAUGGAGAACAGAGAUUCCAAGGCAAGGACCGCACUGAAUUCUGGGAUCAGAAAAGCAGGGGAGCACUGAAUGAUGGGGAAUCCUUGCUCCAAAUGCUAAUCAACCCAUAUCUACACACACCCAGCUCAGCAUUUAUCAGACCAAUUCUAGUAAUGACUCCUCUAUUGGUAUCCCAAACACUGAGUUUUCCUGUCUGUAUUGUGAGCUCUCUCAGAGUAAUGCCACCUAUAGCCAGCAGUGAUCAAUUCCUAUUAUCCAGCAUAUGAACCACUGUUUACCCCUAAAAAAAAACCUAGUGUUCUCCCUUGAGCCAUUGUUAGUUCUCUACAAAAACCCUUACACAAGCUCAAGUUUCUGUCCUGGUGCUUGGAUCCAAAAGCUGCACCAGUUCCACUCCUUUUCUGCUUAGAAUCCCUCCACUGGUCGCGCUGAAGACUCUGCAUGUCUACAAACUCCAACAAAUACCUGGGAACCUUGACUGGUUCAAGCUUCGCUGAGUGGUGAGACUCCAACUCUCUCUCUCUCUCUCUCUCUUUCUCUGACUCCAGGACCCUGACUUUUAUUCUCUUACUCCAGGCACAGCUUUCUAAACCUGCCUUUUGCUAGUCAAACUUGAGCUAGACUUCCCCAAAACCCUAACUGAAACUGUGUAAUAUUGUAACUGUUUAUUUGUCUCUCUCUUGUAUGGCUAUUAUUCUGGUUUCAUCAUAAGUUCAUAUACCUGGCAAUAAAUAGCUUUUAUGGUCAA